AUUCGAGUCGAAUUCCUCGAUAAGGCUAUCCGCCAAAUCGCUCUCUUCGAUCUACACAGGUGGACCAAAGGCCACCAAUCCUACGUAGGCCUACCACCUAAACCUGUCUCAAUACGCAGCGUUUCUCGCUCGCAAAUGCAAACCCAAUCAUGAUCGGGCGAAAUUCUCACUUGGGAAUUCGCACACACUCCAACCAGGAGCAACUAAGACCCCAAACCACGUCAAGUCCUUGGGUUGGGUCACAACCAUACUCGGUGUACCAUCGGUCACACAAUUUAUCACGUGGCAUUCCACGCUCCCGGGCCUAAACUCGGACUACCGUCCUGACCAGAACUC
rnacentral:lncRNA from 1 species